UAGGGAAUAUUAGUAAUGGGCGAAAGCCUGAACUAGCAACGCCGCGUGUGCGAAGAAGGCCUUCGGGUUGUAAAGCACUUUUUGAGAGGAUGAGGAAGGACGGUACUCUCAGAAUAAGUCUCGGCUAACUACGUGCCAGCAGCCGCGGUAACACGUAGGAGGCGAACGUUAUCCGGAUUUACUGGGCGUAAAGCGCGUGUAGGUGGUUUGGUAAGUAGGGCGUGAAAGCUCCUGGCUCAACUGGGAGAGGCCGUUCUAAACUGCCGAACUAGAGGAUGGUAGAGGGAGGUGGAAUUACGGGUGUAGCGGUGGAAUGCGCAGAUAUCCGGAGGAACACCAGUGGAGAAAGCGGCCUCCUGGACCAUUCCUGACAC
rnacentral:rRNA from 1 species